rnacentral:rRNA from 1 species
UACGAAGGGGGCUAGCGUUGUUCGGAAUUACUGGGCGUAAAGCGCGCGCAGGCGGUCUUCCAAGUCAGUGGUGAAAGCCCGGAGCUCAACUCCGGAACUGCCAUUGAAACUGUAAGACUUGAGGAUGAGAGAGGUGAGUGGAAUUCCCAGUGUAGAGGUGAAAUUCGUAGAUAUUCGCAAGAACACCAGUGGCGAAGGCGGCUCACUGGCCCGAUACUGACGCUGAGGCACGAAAGCGUGGGGAGCAAACAGG